rnacentral:rRNA from 1 species
AACGAACGCUGGCGGCAGGCUUAACACAUGCAAGUCGAACGGGUGUAGCAAUACAUCAGUGGCAGACGGGUGAGUAACACGUGGGAACCUUCCUAGGGGUACGGAACAACUCAGGGAAACUUGAGCUAAUACCGUAUACGUCCGUGAGGAGAAAGAUUUAUCGCCCUUAGACGGGCCCGCGUCGGAUUAGCUAGUUGGUGGGGUAACGGCCUACCAAGGCGACGAUCCGUAGCUGAUCUUAGAGGAUGAUCAGCCACACUGGGACUGAGACACGGCCCAGACUCCUACGGGAGGCAGCAGUGGGGAAUCUUGGACAAUGGGCGCAAGCCUGAGCCAGCCAUGCCGCGUGAGCGAAGAAGGUCUUCGGAUUGUAAAGCUCUUUUGCCAGGGACGAUAAUGACGGUACCUGGAGAAUAAGCCCCGGCAAACUUCGUGCCAGCCGCCGCAGUAA